GACGAACGCUGGCGGCGUGCUUAACACAUGCAAGUCGAACGGAAAGGCCCUGCUUUUGUGGGGUGCUCGAGUGGCGAACGGGUGAGUAACACGUGAGUAACCUGCCCUUGACUUUGGGAUAACUUCAGGAAACUGGGGCUAAUACCGGAUAGGAGCUCCUGCUGCAUGGUGGGGGUUGGAAAGUUUCGGCGGUUGGGGAUGGACUCGCGGCUUAUCAGCUUGUUGGUGGGGUAGUGGCUUACCAAGGCUUUGACGGGUAGCCGGCCUGAGAGGGUGACCGGCCACAUUGGGACUGAGAUACGGCCCAGACUCCUACGGGAGGCAGCAGUGGGGAAUAUUGCACAAUGGGCGGAAGCCUGAUGCAGCAACGCCGCGUGCGGGAUGGCGGCCUUCGGGUUGUAAACCGCUUUCGCCUGUGACGAAGCGUGAGUGACGGUAAUGGGUAAAGAAGCACCGGCUAACUACGUGCCAGCAGCCGCGGUGAUACGUAGGGUGCGAGCGUUGUCCGGAUUUAUUGGGCGUAAAGGGCUCGUAGGUGGUUGAUCGCGUCGGAAGUGUAAUCUUGGGGCUUAACCCUGAGCGUGCUUUCGAUACGGGUUGACUUGAGGAAGGUAGGGGAGAAUGGAAUUCCUGGUGGAGCGGUGGAAUGCGCAGAUAUCAGGAGGAACACCAGUGGCGAAGGCGGUUCUCUGGGCCUUUCCUGACGCUGAGGAGCGAAGGCGUGGGGAGCGAACAGGCUUAGAUACCCUGGUAGUCCACGCUGUAAACGGUGGGUACUAGGUGUGGGGUCCAUUCCACGGGUUCCGUGCCGUAGCUAACGCUUUAAGUACCCCGCCUGGGGAGUACGGCCGCAAGGCUAAAACUCAAAGGAAUUGACGGGGCCCCGCACAAGCGGCGGAGCAUGCGGAUUAAUUCGAUGCAACGCGUAGAACCUUACCUGGGUUUGACAUGGAUCGGGAGUGCUCAGAGAUGGGUGUGCCUCUUUUGGGGUCGGUUCACAGGUGGUGCAUGCCUGUCGUCAGCUCGUGUCGUGAGAUGUUGGGUUAAGUCCCGCAACGAGCGCAACCCUUGUUCACUGUUGCCAGCACGUUAUGGUGGGGACUCAGUGGAGACCGCCGGGGUCAACUCGGAGGAAGGUGGGGAUGACGUCAAGUCAUCAUGCCCCUUAUGUCCAGGGCUUCACGCAUGCUACAAUGGCUGGUACAGAGAGUGGCGAGCCUGUGAGGGUGAGCGAAUCUCGGAAAGCCGGUCUCAGUUCGGAUUGGGGUCUGCAACUCGACCUCAUGAAGUCGGAGUCGCUAGUAAUCGCAGAUCAGCAACGCUGCGGUGAAUACGUUCCCGGG
rnacentral:rRNA from 1 species